rnacentral:rRNA from 1 species
UACGAAGGGGGCUAGCGUUGCUCGGAAUCACUGGGCGUAAAGCGCACGUAGGCGGCUUCUUAAGUCAGGGGUGAAAUCCUGGAGCUCAACUCCAGAACUGCCUUUGAUACUGAGGAUCUUGAGUUCCGGGAGAGGUGAGUGGAACUGCGAGUGUAGAGGUGAAAUUCGUAGAUAUUCGCAAGAACACCAGUGGCGAAGGCGGCUCACUGGCCCGAUCUGACGCUGAGGCACGAAAGCGUGGGGAGCAAACAGG